UACAGAGGUCUCAAGCGUUGUUCGGAUUCAUUGGGCGUAAAGGGUGCGUAGGUGGCGUGGUAAGUCGGGUGUGAAAUUUCGGAGCUUAACUCCGAAACUGCAUUCGAUACUGCCGUGCUUGAGGACUGGAGAGGAGACUGGAAUUUACGGUGUAGCAGUGAAAUGCGUAGAGAUCGUAAGGAAGACCAGUGGCGAAGGCGGGUCUCUGGACAGUUCCUGACACUGAGGCACGAAGGCCCAGGGGAGCAAACGGG
rnacentral:rRNA from 1 species